ACGCUGGCGGCAGGCCUAACACAUGCAAGUCGAACGGUAGCACAGAGGAGCUUGCUCCUUGGGUGACGAGUGGCGGACGGGUGAGUAAUGCCUGGGAAACUGCCCGAUGGAGGGGGAUAACUACUGGAAACGGUAGCUAAUACCGCAUAACGUCUUCGGACCAAAGUGGGGGACCUUCGGGCCUCACACCAUCGGAUGUGCCCAGGUGGGAUUAGCUAGUAGGUGGGGUAAUGGCUCACCUAGGCGACGAUCCCUAGCUGGUCUGAGAGGAUGACCAGCCACACUGGAACUGAGACACGGUCCAGACUCCUACGGGAGGCAGCAGUGGGGAAUAUUGCACAAUGGGCGCAAGCCUGAUGCAGCCAUGCCGCGUGUAUGAAGAAGGCCUUCGGGUUGUAAAGUACUUUCAGUGGGGAGGAAGGCGAUGAGGUUAAUAACCUCGUCGAUUGACGUUACCCGCAGAAGAAGCACCGGCUAACUCCGUGCCAGCAGCCGCGGUAAUACGGAGGGUGCAAGCGUUAAUCGGAAUUACUGGGCGUAAAGCGCACGCAGGCGGUCUGUCAAGUCGGAUGUGAAAUCCCCGGGCUCAACCUGGGAACUGCAUUCGAAACUGGCAGACUAGAGUCUUGUAGAGGGGGGUAGAAUUCCAGGUGUAGCGGUGAAAUGCGUAGAGAUCUGGAGGAAUACCGGUGGCGAAGGCGGCCCCCUGGACAAAGACUGACGCUCAGGUGCGAAAGCGUGGGGAGCAAAC
rnacentral:rRNA from 1 species